AUGAUAAUCUAUGUGUCAUUUGCAAUGCUUAUGUUUAUGAAGAUAGAGCUCAUCUUUUCUUCCAAUGCAACUUUAGUUGCAGAGUAUGGACUUACUUGCAAAUUGACUGGAGCCAUGGGUCUGACAUUCAGCAAUGCAUCUCCCAAGCCAGAACAUGAUUUGGUCAUCCUUUCUUCUUUGAGGUUAUGCUCACGGCUGCAUGGAAUAUAUGGAUCCCGAGGAAUGGCAAAACAUUCAGAGGGGAACGUGCUACUUUUCCACAUGGAGAUGGCAGAUCAGGAAGACCAGCUUCGAUCCUUGGGCCGAUGA
rnacentral:rRNA from 1 species